rnacentral:rRNA from 1 species
UACGGAGGGUGCAAGCGUUAAUCGGAAUUACUGGGCGUAAAGCGCACGCAGGUGGCUGAGUCAGUCGAUUGUGAAAGCCCUGGGCUUAACCUGGGAAUUGCAGUCGAUACUACUUAGCUCGAGUAUGGGAGAGGGCAGUGGAAUUCCCGGUGUAGCGGUGAAAUGCGUAGAUAUCGAGAGGAACACCUGCGGCGAAGGCGGGUUGCUGGGCUGACACUGACGCUGAUGCGCGAAAGCCAGGGGAGCGAACGGG